GCUCACAUGCCACCAAACUCAGCAUCACUGUACUCUCAGUGGGACUGAAGGGACAGAAGGGGCAGGGCAGGGCAGGGGCCUCCCUAGCUACAGCACUGCCGUUCUUCCCAAUUUGGAGAUGGAUGAAGAUCUGCCAGCUCUCUGGCUGACUCCCUCUGCCACAGCAGGCAAGAAGCAGGGAGGGAAACCUCUGAUGAGGACGCUACAGGGCUAGAACCUAUUAUAGCACCACCCUGUGCAGGUCUAAUGUCUCACAUGAACCUACAGGCAACUCUCAGGCAAGAGCCAUAAGCAGGGAGGUGCCAGUUUCUACCAGUGGACAAAACAUACUUCCAAGUGACCGCGAAAAUGCAUGGAGCUUGCCUGGAUACAGCCAUACUGAUUCACUGCAGAGGCUUAUAGAAACUAAGCAGAGAAAUAAAAAAUAAA